rnacentral:piRNA from 1 species
GCCAUGAUUGAAAGCUUCCUGAAGCCUC